UCAAGCUACAAAGGGCGCAUGGUGAAUGCCUUGGCAUCAGGAGCCGAUGAAGGACGUGAUAAGCUGCGAUAAGCUUCGGGUAGGCGCACAUAGCCAGUGAUCCGGAGAUUUCCGAAUGUGGGAACACACAUGGGAAACCCCAUGUAUCGUAUAGUGAAUACAUAGCUAUACGAGGGUAAACCUAGGGAACUGAAACAUCUAAGUACCUAGAGGAAGAGAAAGAAAAAUCGAUUUCCUUAGUAGCGGCGAGCGAAAGGGAAAGAGCCCAAACCAAAGAUUUAUCUUUGGGGUUGCGGACAGAACAUUAAAGUGGAGGCUAUUGUAAUUGAAGAGUACUGGAAAGUACCACCGUAGAAGGUAAUAGUCCUGUAAGUAAAACGAGAAGACCACGAGUUCUGAUCCAGAGUACCACGAGACACGUGAAACCUUGUGGGAAGCAGGGAGGACCACCUCCCAAGGCUAAAUACUACCUGAUGACCGAUAGUGAAGCAGUACCGUGAGGGAAAGGUGAAAAGAACCCCGGGAGGGGAGUGAAAUAGAACCUGAAACCGUGUGCCUACAACCGGUCAAAGCCCCAUAUGAGGGUGAUGACGUGCUUUUUGUAGAACGAGCCAACGAGUUACGGUAUGUAGCAAGGUUAAGUACUUAAGGUACGGAGCCGAAGGGAAACCGAGUCUUAAUAGGGCGACUAGUUGCAUGCCGUAGACCCGAAACCGGGUGACCUAUCCAUGGCCAGGUUGAAGCGAGGGUAAAACUUCGUGGAGGACCGAACCACGUUGCUGUUGAAAAAGCAUGGGAUGAGCUGUGGAUAGCGGAGAAAUUCCAAUCGAACUCGGAGAUAGCUGGUUCUCCCCGAAAUAGCUUUAGGGCUAGCGUCGGAUAUGUGUAGUGGAGGUAGAGCACUGAAUGGGCUAGGGGGCAUAUCGCUUACCGAACCUUAUCAAACUCCGAAUGCCAUAUACAUUAAGUCCGGCAGUCAGACUACGAAUGAUAAGAUCCGUGGUCAAAAGGGAAACAGCCCAGAUCGUCAGCUAAGGUCCCAAAGUGUAAGUUAAGUGGAAAAGGAUGUGGGAUUUCUAAGACAACUAGGAUGUUGGCUUAGAAGCAGCCACUCAUUUAAAGAGUGCGUAAUAGCUCACUAGUCGAGAGAUCCUGCGCCGAAAAUGUCCGGGGCUCAAACUUACCACCGAAGCUACGGGCUUGCGUAAGCAAGCGGUAGGGGAGCGUCGUAAUCGGGCUGAAGUCGUACCGUAAGGAGCGGUGGACUGAUUACGAGUGAGAAUGUUGGCAUUAGUAGCGAGAUGUAGGUGAGAAUCCUACAGGCCGAAUAUCUAAGGUUUCCUCAGGAAGGCUCGUCCGCUGAGGGUUAGUCGGGACCUAAGCCGAGGCCGAAAGGCGUAGGCGAUGGACAAUCGGUUGAUAUUCCGAUACCACUACCAUCGUUAUUAUCGAGGGUGUGACGGAGAAGGAUAGUGUGUGCUAGCGAUUGGAAAUGCUAGUCUAAGCGUUUAGGGAGUUACGGUAGGCAAAUCCGCUGUAACAAUUCUGAGGCGUGAUGGGGAAGGCCAUAUAGGCCGAAGUACAUGAUUCCAUGCUUCCAAGAAAAGCAUCUAGAGAGAGAAGUAGUGCCCGUACCGCAAACCGACACAGGUAGAUGAGGAGAGAAUCCUAAGGCCGGCGGAAGAAUUGCAGUUAAGGAACUAGGCAAAUUGACCCCGUAAGUUCGCGAGAAGGGGUGCCUGCGAGAGCAGGCCGCAGAGAAUAGGCCCAAGCAACUGUUUAGCAAAAACACAGGUCUCUGCUAAAGCGCAAGCUGAUGUAUAGGGGCUGACGCCUGCCCGGUGCUGGAAGGUUAAGGGGAAUACUUAGCGCAAGCGAAGGUAUGAACUUAAGCCCCAGUAAACGGCGGCCGUAACUAUAACGGUCCUAAGGUAGCGAAAUUCCUUGUCAGGUAAGUUCUGACCCGCACGAAUGG
rnacentral:rRNA from 1 species